UAUAGUACAGGUCAGAUAGACUAUAGUACAGGUCAGAUAGACCAUAGUACAGGUCAGAUAGAUAGACUAUAGUACAGGUCAGAUAGACUAUAGUACAGGUCAGAUAGACUAUAGUACAGGUCAGAUAGAUAGACUAUAGUACAGGUCAGAUAGACUAUAGUACAGGUCAGAUAGACUAUAGUACAGGUCAGAUAGACUAUAGUACAGGUCAGAUAGAUAGACUAUAGUACAGGUCAGAUAGACUAUAGUACAGGUCAGAUAGACUAUAGUACAGGUCAGAUAGACUAUAGUACAGGUCAG